GCAUUUAGUUCCCUCGAGAGAAGAAUUCUCUCUAAGGAAUCGGAACUGGUAAUCUUGAAAGUGGCAAAUAGGCCAAAAGUUGGGAGUCAAAUUAUGCAAUAGAUAACUUCCGAGUUUAUUAUCUCACGAACGCAUUGAGGGUAAUUAUGCCAUCAUAAGUGGGGAACAACAGCAUGGAGAAGGAUUUUAUAUUUCAGAUGAAAGCUUCUGAGAUCAAUGUGGUUGCCAAAGAACAGAGCUAGUUUGCUUCAUGCAAACCUGUUGUUCAGGGAUUCUUGGUGUAGUCUCCAGCCUGUGAUAAAAGGCAUUGAGUACUUCCUAGUUCCUGAUAAUGACUUGAGUUUAGGUUUAAUCAUUGCUAUCUUGACUCGCAUUAUGGUUGUGAUAUGGUUGUGAAAUUGUGAUUGAAAGGAGGCAAUGAUUUUUGAGAUUCUCACUCCACUUAGUCUAUGAAUGCAGAUUUCACGAAAUUCACAUAAAGUCCCGUUCUUAGUGGUUUGCAGGUGCACUUCUUAUAGUGAUUGGUGUGCUAAUUCUCAGCAAAUCAAGUAUCGAGAAGAAAAGUAGAUUUGAUUGAAAGUUCUCAGUUUAUGAGAGAUACCAUACGCCAUGCUUGAAGGUUGCCCCCUUUUGCUACAGGCAACAGUUGCCCUGCUUCUCUGGUGACUUAUAAAUGAGAAGUUACAUUCUCGUGCCACUCUCAAGGAAGGAAAAAAGGAAGCUGAGAAUUGAGGAUAGAAGAGCGUUUCCUUCCUGGCCGGUCAUUCCGCGUGAAUGAUCACUACUUGCUGCGACUGGCAGCACCAAGGUUGCUAUGUUGUUAAUGCCAGGAUUGCUAUGUUACUGUUAAUGGUGACUGUAAGAUAUAGCUACAAGGCAAGCUGCAAAGAAGGCAGAUUUGUGUUUAGCGAUGGGAUCCUAUCCCACCUUUUCACCAUACCAAACGAGUAGGCUAGAACAUUGGUAA